ACAAUCCAUGAUGGGAUAGCAUGUUGUUCUCUCUCCAUUUGAUUAAAAAUAGAGUUGGCAAUGUUAUUGUUGCCAC
rnacentral:tRNA from 1 species